GGCCGAAAGGCGUAGUCGAUGGGAAACAGGUUAAUAUUCCUGUACUUGGUGUUACUGCGAAGGGGGGACGGAGAAGGCUAUGUUAGCCGGGCGACGGUUGUCCCGGUUUAAGCAUGUAGGCUGGUUGUCCAGGCAAAUCCGGAUAAUCAAGGCUGAGGUGUGAUGACGAGGCACUACGGUGCUGAAGUAACAAAUGCCCUGCUUCCAGGAAAAGCCUCUAAGCAUCAGGUAACAUUAAAUCGUACCCCAAACCGACACAGGUGGUCAGGUAGAGAAUACCAAGGCGCUUGAGAGAACUCGGGUGAAGGAACUAGGCAAAAUGGUGCCGUAACUUCGGGAGAAGGCACGCUGGUGUGUAGGUGAAGUCCCUGCGGAUGGAGCUGAGACCAGUCGAAGAUACCAGCUGGCUGCAACUGUUUAUUAAAAACACAGCACUGUGCAAACACGAAAGUGGACGUAUACGGUGUGACGCCUGCCCGGUGCCGGAAGGUUAAUUGAUGGGGUUAUCCGUAAGGAGAAGCUCUUGAUCGAAGCCCCGGUAAACGGCGGCCGUAACUAUAACGGUCCUAAGGUAGCGAAAUUCCUUGUCGGGUAAGUUCCGACCUGCACGAAUGGCGUAAUGAUGGCCAGGCUGUCUCCACCCGAGACUCAGUGAAAUUGAACUCGCUGUGAAGAUGCAGUGUACCCGCGGCAAGACGGAAAGACCCCGUGAACCUUUACUAUAGCUUGACACUGAACAUUGAGCCUUGAUGUGUAGGAUAGGUGGGAGGCUUUGAAGCGUGGACGCCAGUCUGCGUGGAGCCAACCUUGAAAUACCACCCUUUAAUGUUUGAUGUUCUAACGUUGGCCCCUGACCGGGGUUGCGGACAGUGUCUGGUGGGUAGUUUGACUGGGGCGGUCUCCUCCCAAAGCGUAACGGAGGAGCACGAAGGUUAGCUAAUCCUGGUCGGACAUCAGGAGGUUAGUGCAAUGGCAUAAGCUAGCUUGACUGCGAGCGUGACGGCGCGAGCAGGUGCGAAAGCAGGUCAUAGUGAUCCGGUGGUUCUGAAUGGAAGGGCCAUCGCUCAACGGAUAAAAGGUACUCCGGGGAUAACAGGCUGAUACCGCCCAAGAGUUCAUAUCGACGGCGGUGUUUGGCACCUCGAUGUCGGCUCAUCACAUCCUGGGGCUGAAGUAGGUCCCAAGGGUAUGGCUGUUCGCCAUUUAAAGUGGUACGCGAGCUGGGUUUAGAACGUCGUGAGACAGUUCGGUCCCUAUCUGCCGUGGGCGCUGGAGAAUUGAGGGGGGCUGCUCCUAGUACGAGAGGACCGGAGUGGACGCAUCACUGGUGUUCGGGUUGUCAUGCCAAUGGCACUGCCCGGUAGCUAAAUGCGGAAGAGAUAAGUGCUGAAAGCAUCUAAGCACGAAACUUGCCCCGAGAUGAGUUCUCCCUGAGACUUUAAGUCUCCUGAAGGAACGUUAAAGACGAUGACGUUGAUAGGCCGGGUGUGUAAGCGCAGCGAUGCGUUGAGCUAACCGGUACUAAUGAACCGUGAGGCUUAACCUU
rnacentral:rRNA from 1 species